AAAUAAUUUAAAUAAAGUGUUGACAUCAUUAACUAUUUAAUGAUAUGAUUAAUAGGUAGUCAAAAAUAAUAUUAGCGCGGGAUGGAGCAGUUCGG
rfam:Staphylococcus epidermidis RP62A, complete genome.